UUCUUUUUCACCUCCCAGCUUCACAUCGUACCCGAGUCCCCAAUUACCCUCUCAGUGUGCUGUAACCAAGGGCCCCUGUUAUAACUCACAUAACACAUUCUAUACUUCAGCACAAUCACUGGACAAGCACAGGUAACAGUAGCAUAUAGAGCACAACACAGUCACUGGACAAGCACAGGUAACAGCAGCAUAUGGAGCACAACACAAUCACUGGACAAGCAAAGGUAACGAUAGCA